UGCCUGUUCGAGCGUCAUUAUGACCAAUCCAGCCUGGCUGGGUGUUGGGCUUCGCCGUCUGGCGGGCCUUAAAACUAGUGGCGGUGCUCUCAGGCUCUACGCGUAGUAAUUCUCUCGCUAUAGGGUCCUGGAAGAUGCUAGCAUCAACCCCAAAUUUUUAGGUUGACCUCGGAUCAGGUAGGGAUACCCGCUGAACUUAA
rnacentral:misc_RNA from 1 species